AAGGAUCAUUAACGCAUCUCCGACGGGGAGCGGUGCGCCCAGCUCCGGCCCAACUGGCCGUGCAGCGAGUGCCCGUCACCGUCCAAACCUCACAAACCCACUGUGAACCUUCACGGCAGAGGGAGGGGCGACCCUCCCGAUGCCGCACACCAAACUCCAAUUGUAAAGAAUGUCGUGCGGACGUCGAGCCGCCUAAAAACACAAAACAACUUUCAACAACGGAUCUCUUGGCUCUCGCAUCGAUGAAGAACGCACCGAAAUGCGAUAAGUAAUGUGAAUUGCAGAAUUCAGUGAAUCAUCGAAUCUUUGAACGCACCUUGCGCUCCUUGGUAUUCCGAGGAGCAUGCCUGUUUGAGUGUCUUGAAGUCAUCAACCCCUUCCGUUUUGUUGCGGAUUGGGUUGGAUGUGGGGGUCUGCUGCCGUGAGGUGGCUCCCCUGAAAUGCAUCGGUUGGGCCUGUGGGUCGAACUCCACUGGGUGUUGUACCAUCCUCGCUCGACAGAGUCCGUCCCCCUUCUGCGCCCUCCCCCGACCUGCCUGUCUAGAGAGGCGGUCAAAGCAAACUUUUGAAAUCUGACCUCGAAUCACGUAGGACUACCCGCUGAACUUAA
rnacentral:rRNA from 1 species